rnacentral:lncRNA from 1 species
ACACCCGGGUAAUUUUUGUAUUUUUAGUAGAGAUGGGGUUUCACCAAGUUGGCCAGGCUGGUAUCGAACUCCUGACCUCGUGAUCCACCUGCCUCGGACUCCCAAAAUGUUGAGAUUACAGGCGUGAGCCACCAUGCCCAGCCGCAGUGCUGUUUUUAAGAGCAAGAGACUGGAAACAACUCAAAUGUCCAUCAAUAGGGGGCUGUUUAAUUAAAUCACAUACAGUUCUACAACGGAAAAUUAUGUAGCCACAGAAAAGAUCCCAGGAAGCUCAAAUGUACUGAAACGAAACAGCUUCCAAGAUCUGAAAACAUAACACUGAACGAUGUAGGUAACGUGUGUAUCAUUUGUGGGAAAAAGUGGGAUACAAUAUGAUUAUAAGAUACUUAUACAGGCCGGCGCGGUGGCUCACGUCUGUAAUCCCAGCACUUUGGGAGGCCAAGGCAGGCGGAUCACAAGGUCAGCAGGUCGAGACCAGCCUGGCCAAUUUGGUGAAACCCCAUCUCUACUAAAAAUACAAAAAUUAGCCAGGCGUGGUGGCUUACGCCUGUAAUCCCAGCUACUCGGGAGGCUGAGGCAGGAGAAUCACUUGAACCCGGAGGGGGAGGUUGUGUUGAGCAGAGAUUGAGCCAUUGCACUCUAGCCUGGGCAACAAGAGUGAAACUCCGUCUCAAAAAAAAAAAAAAAAGGUACUUAUACAAGGCUGGGUGCAGUGGCUCACGCCUGUAAUCCCAACACUUUGGGAGGUCAGGGAAGGUGGACUGCUUGAGCCCAGGAGUUCCAGACCAACCUGGGCAACAUGGUGAAACCCCAUCUCUAAAAAAAUACGAAAAAAGUUAGUCGGGCAUGGUGGUGGGCGCCUGUAGUCCCAGCUGCUCAGGAGACUGAGGUAGGAGGAUCACUUGAGCCCAGGAGGUGAAGAAUGCAGUGUGCCACUAUACUCCAGACUGGAGGACAGAGUGAGGCUGUGUCUAAAAAAAAAAAAAAAAAAAAAAGAUAAAAAAGAUACUUAUACAAAUUAAAUUGAAACAACUCUGGAAGAAUGCACACUACCAAUGUUAACUGGCUAGGGUUGGGGCUGGAGGAAUGGGGUGGCUGGGAAUCAAGAGUAGAAAGGAGAUUUCACUAAGUACUCUUUUGCAUAGUUUGAAUUUUUUUUUUUAGGGGCGGAGUCUUGCUCUAUUUCCAGGCUGCAGUCCAAUGGCACGAUCUCGGCUCACUACAACCUCCGCCUGCUGGGUUCAAGCGAUUCUCCUGCCUCAGCCUCCUGAGUAGCUGGGAUUACAGAUGCAUGCCACCGU